rnacentral:rRNA from 1 species
UGGGGAAUAUUGGACAAUGGGCGCAAGCCUGAUCCAGCAAUGCCGCGUGGGUGAAGAAGGCCUUCGGGUUGUAAAGCCCUUUCAGUGGGGAAGAAAAGCGGUGUGUGAAUAGCGCAUCGUGUUGACGUUACCCACAGAAGAAGCACCGGCUAACUCCGUGCCAGCAGCCGCGGUAAUACGGAGGGUGCGAGCGUUAAUCGGAAUUACUGGGCGUAAAGGGCGCGUAGGCGGUUUAGUAAGUUGGGUGUGAAAGCCCUGGGCUCAACCUGGGAAUUGCACUUGAUACUGCUGAGCUAGAGUGUGGUAGAGGGAGGCGGAAUUUCCGGUGUAGCGGUGAAAUGCGUAGAUAUCGGAAGGAACACCAGUGGCGAAGGCGGCCUCCUGGACCAUAACUGACGCUGAGGUGCGAAAGCGUGGGGAGCGAACAGG